UGCGUAGGCGGAUUAAUAAGUCAGUGGUGAAAUCUCCCGGCUCAACCGGGAAACUGCCAUUGAUACUGUUAGUCUAGAGUUUAGAUGAAGUGGGCGGAAUGUAGCAUGUAGCGGUGAAAUGCUUAGAUAUGCUACAGAACACCGAUUGCGAAGGCAGCUCACUAAGCUAAAACUGACGCUCAUGCGCGAAAGCGUGGGGAUCAAACAGGAUUAGAUACCCUGGUAGUCC
rnacentral:rRNA from 1 species